rnacentral:rRNA from 1 species
UAAGGAAUAUUGGUCAAUGGGAGAAAUCCUGAACCAGCAACGCCGCGUGAAGGACGAAGGGCUUUUAGCUUGUAAACAUCUUUUUUGAGGGAAAAAUAUACGAUUACUUCGUGUUGAUUGUACCUUGAGAAUAAGCCCCGGCUAACUACGUGCCAGCAGCCGCGGUAAUACGUAGGGGGCAAGCGUUGUCCGGAUUUACUGGGUGUAAAGGGUGCUCAGGUGGAUUUGUUAGUCGGAGGUGAAACUCCGGAGCUUAACUCCGGAACUGCCUCCGAAACAGCAAGUCUUGAGUUUGGUAGAGGAUGAUGGAAUAUCUGGUGUAGCAGUGAAAUGCGUAGAUAUCAGAUAGAACACCAAUGGCGAAGGCAGUCAUCUGGGCCAUAACUGACACUAAAGCACGAAAUGCGUGGGGAUCAAACAGGAUUAGAUACC